rnacentral:rRNA from 1 species
UACGGAGGGUCCAAGCGUUAUCCGGAAUCAUUGGGUUUAAAGGGUCCGUAGGCGGUCCUGUAAGUCAGUGGUGAAAUCUCCCCGCUCAACGGGGAAACGGCCAUUGAUACUGCAGGCCUUGAAUUAUUGGGAAGUAACUAGAAUAUGUAGUGUAGCGGUGAAAUGCUUAGAUAUUACAUGGAAUACCAAUUGCGAAGGCAGGUUACUACCAAUAUAUUGACGCUGAUGGACGAAAGCGUGGGGAGCGAACAGG